AACGAACGCUGGCGGCAUGCCUAACACAUGCAAGUCGAACGAGACCUUCGGGUCUAGUGGCGCACGGGUGCGUAACGCGUGGGAACCUGCCCUUAGGUUCGGAAUAACUCCCCGAAAGGGGUUCUAAUACCGGAUAAUGUCUUCGGACCAAAGAUUUAUCGCCUUUGGAUGGGCCCGCGUUGGAUUAGCUAGUUGGUAGGGUAAAAGCCUACCAAGGCGACGAUCCAUAGCUGGUCUGAGAGGAUGAUCAGCCACACUGGGACUGAGACACGGCCCAGACUCCUACGGGGGACAGCAGUGGGGAAUAUUGGACAAUGGGCGAAAGCCUGAUCCAGCAAUGCCGCGUGAGUGAUGAAGGCCUUAGGGUUGUAAAGCUCUUUUACCCGGGAUGAUAAUGACAGUACCGGGAGAAUAAGCUCCGGCUAACUCCGUG
rnacentral:rRNA from 1 species